CGCUUCGCUCCUUGCUCCUCGCUCGUGUUGAACCGGAAAGCCAGCCCGAAUUGAUUCAUCUGCCGAAGCCCGGGAGAGAAUUUUCGGUAACUUACUGGCCCUUCCAAAUUGGUAUGACCAAUAAGCUCUCCGCCGCACUCUUUGUCAAGCGUAUCUUCAAACGCGGUCGAGAAUUUCUUCGUGGCCGCAAGCCGUCAUUGCAACGCCUAGGCGCUCUAAUGCGGGCGCAGCCAAGCGAGCCCGCACAUGUGGACUCGCAAAGAAUUUUCAGAAUUUGAUUCGCGAGAGGAUCUCGCGCCC
rnacentral:misc_RNA from 1 species